GGUCUCCAAGGCAACCGCAGCAUUCCAUCUUAAAGUAAUUUGGACAGUAGCACUUCAAUAAAUUGAGCACACAGCAAAGCCUUGAAGUGGAGGAAAAAGACACGGGGCCAAGAUGUCAGUCCAUUAAGAGAGUGGAGAUGCUGCAAGCUGCUUUUCUAAUCCCCAAAAUAAUUUGGUUCCCCUGAUGCAUCUCCUCGGGGCUCUGCUACUAAUCCAGCAACAAGGGACAAUCCCUCAGCUCUCCUCUGCUGCAGACGUGUUACCGGUGCUUAAAGACAACAGAGCUUCAGAUUAAACCGAGCUCUACUGGCAGCGACGAUUAAUCACACUCAGGCUCACUCCGCCCAUUUCUGUCCCUUUGCAGCUCAGAUGUAGUGUCAGAUUCCAGCACUUACCCCGACAUUAAAAAGAUCGCACACUCACUUC